rnacentral:rRNA from 1 species
GACGAACGCUGGCGGCGUGCUUAACACAUGCAAGUCGAACGGAAAGGCCCUGCUUUUGUGGGUGGUUGGGGGGCCAAAGGGGGGAUAAACAUGGGAUAAACUUGCCUUGUCUUUGGGGUAAAUUUAGGGAAACUGGGGUAAUUACGGCUAAGUACCUCUUGUGCCUGGUGGGGGUUGGGAAAGUUUGGCGGGUGGGGAUGGAAUUGCGGGUUUUCCGCUUGUUGGUGGGGUAGUGGGUUACCAAGGCUUUGACGGGUAGCCGGCCUGAGAGGGGGACCGGCCACAUUGGGACUGAGAUACGGCCCAGACUCCUACGGGAGGCAGCAGUGGGGAAUAUUGCACAAUGGGCGGAAGCCUGAUGCAGCAACGCCGCGUGCGGGAUGACGGCCUUCGGGUUGUAAACCGCUUUCGCCUGUGACGAAGCGUGAGUGACGGUAAUGGGUAAAGAAGCACCGGCUAACUACGUG